UUCCCCUACUUUCUUCUCUAAAUUUUUGUGUGGAUAUUUGGCUGGUGUGUGGUGUGUGCCCUGGAUCUAUGAUGGGAGUGUGCGCGGUUGCCCGCUUGGGGAUUGAGCCCAAUCUGCGUGUGUUCAUUUCUGCGAUUCCGUUGAUUUGGGGGCACAUUUUGCUUGGGUCCCUUCGGACGGUGCCGCCGCUUUGCUGCGCUCGCUGUAUUCUCGGCACGUGUGGCCAUGCUGCUGGGCAUGUUUUGAUUGGAUGGUCUCUUGUUUGGACGGCCGUAUUAGACUAUUAGUAUAUAUCUAUCUGCUCUUUCAGAUUUAGGUCGACGAGCUCGGGAUUCGAGUGUCUGGACCCAAAAUGAGCGCAGCGUUUACUUGUACGGUUCUGUCGUAUUGUUAUUGUGGCGGUGGCUCGUGGAUGCUUUGUCCUGAAUCGGUUCUUCCUACUGUAGGUUUAGCAUUCAGGUUUAAUUGUUCAGACUGGAUUACAGUGAUGAUUUGGUCUAUGACAGAUUGAUGGUCUAUUUUACCUAGCACAGGUUUAGCAUGGAGAUUCAGUUAUCGUGUAUGAUGCUUUCCCUGUUGUAGUUCGGUAGGUUGUUUCUUACAUGACAGCACCCUUAUAUUGUACUGAAAGUAUAUUUUCUACAAUAUAGAUGAGCACUUUGAGUAGUGGUCACCAUUUUCUGCUUCAGCCAUUCAUGCCUGCAUCGCUAAAAAUGUACUCUACAAAGUACAAACACAGAUAUUCACUUUUUUAGUGUAGGAAGGAAGAAUUAGUGCUGGGUAGCAGGAAUUUAUACAAAAUCUAUUGCAAAAUAGCAGGGGCCUUGGAACAUACUGACCCCUCUAAUACUGGAAACUACUUGCAAUCAGGUCUGUGGAAUAAUUCUCUAAGAUGGACACGCGCAAAGUGCAACUACGCAAACAAACCACAUCCAUCAGUAAUGCAUUUCAUUCAGUUUAAGUGACAAACCUAUUACAGUCUAAAUAAGAUAGAAUGACUAUUGAGAUGCUAGAAAGUUACUCAAGUAUACUCAGGUAUGUUGACAAAAAGUAUUAAUAGGUCCAUGGUACUCACAAGGUAAAAUGCAACUUGCCUUAUCUUGCAUGCUUUGAAAUACUUAUUAGGAUGCGGCUUCAAAUUGACAUAAGAUCAAAUUCAAUCUCCUCUUUUAGAGAAAGGUUUGUACUCCUUUAUCAUAGGUGAAAGCAAUAGGAUCUUAACUGAAUAGGAGCAACCAAUCUGCAAAUUGCUCAGGGUAUUCGCGUUCUUGUUUUGCAUCUUGAUUUGUCAAGUUCGAAUGCCUAGGGCCUAGGAUCUCUGGGUGCAGAUGUCCUCUCUCUAUCCUUUCACUAUCCCUUUCAGUUUAGGAACGAUAUACAACAGCUGGUUCUUUCCUUAAAAAAAACUGCAGCAACGGUGUUUCACUUUAGCUGAAAUCGAACGUUUAACAGUAGAUGCAGUCCCCUUUUGUUCAAGAUAUCAUAUUAGACCAAAUGGAUUUCCUUCUGUCAUUUUGGUCUAUCCAAAAUUGAAUAUGGAAAAUUUAUGUUCGUGUAGCCUGGGCGUGCAGAUCUCAUGUAGCCUGGUGAUGCAGAUAAGGUAGGCUGAAGGUAGGUGGUGAUAAAACAUUGCUACCAAAGUUUCUCUCAAACUGACCCAAGUGAGGCUAUAGCAGAGGCAUCAAUACAUCUAGAAAUAAGGGUAAGAUGCAGAAAACAUCGCAUAUUUAUUAAAGCAUAAUAGUUCUGAUAUUUCAACAACAGAUAAGCUACUUAUGAACCAUGCACCAUGUUUGACAAGAAUGUCCAUUACCCUGUACUUCAGCACUUAAAUAGUACAUAUUAUACUGUUACCCUGUAACUGCAACUUGAACAGAAGGACAAAUUAAUGUUGCGACACUUUGAGAUGUAACUGACAAUAUUUCCUCAAAAGGUCUAUUUUCUUGCUCACCAAAUAUGUUACAUAGUGGUUAGUUGUUUCAUCCUUAUUUUCGUCAUGGCAUUUUUUUUAAAAUCAUGUCUUGCUCCAAACCGACAGAGUAUUAACAGUUGAGAUGAAGCUCACUAAGUAUUGGUUGAUAGGGACAUGCCUUGUGCUCACCAGGUGUUUUCCGUGUUGCACAAUAAACUCAGUGAUGCUACAGUGGAGGCGGCCUCCACACGGCACACAAUUGCCAGAACCCAUCCCGAAGAAAGCCAUGUUGCCGACCAAGAGUAUGUGUUGCUACUCGCUUCCGAUUGAAUCGUCAUUCUUGUGAUGGAAAUCAAAUCUCUGGCAUGCAAUUUGGUGAUAGGAUGUUUCCAUCCAUUCCAAGGUAAAUAAGGCCCAACACAAAUCUAGAAAUAUAUACGCUGGGGAGAAAAUAAAAGCAGGACAUUAUUUCUACAAAUUCAUAUGUUGACAUUAUUCAAGCCAUAUGUCAUGAAAAUAUUUAAAAAACUGAGCAUCUAAAGAGAGACAUGCAAGAUGCAUCUAUUAAUCUAGCCAGUAUAAUUAUGAGAAUUAUUUAAAAGCUUAUUGAGACUUUGUUCAAGAUAAGCAGGAUGAUGUGAAACUGAAAAUUAUGAAUCAUUUAGUUCAGAAAACUGUAUUUCAGUGUUUCUGUUUCUGGGUAAGUGGCUAGCAUAUCUCUUUUCUUCUGAUGCUACUACAUUGUAAGGAAAUCAUGAAUGUUAAGCCUGGCAAUGUAGAUCGCUAGGCUUAUGAAGAAAAGUAGAGACAGUUGCACAAUGUGAAUAAGAACCAAAUCUGGUUAGAAAAAAUAUUUAGGAUACAAUUUUCCUUAUCUAGCAAAAUGAAACAGGGAAAAUUGAUUCUGAAACUGGAACAUGGGUGGCACAGACGAUGUAGAUGACAUGGCGCCCGGUCAGGGGAACUUCCAUCGUCUAUUUCCCCUUACGUCUUCGAUAUUGUCGGUGGCCACUGCUAUUUUGUGCUUGCACGUGUGAAAUUAUGACUGCAUAUGCACAUAGAUGAAGAAUCACAAGCCACUGCUAUUCGGUAAUUACAAAUUUCGGCUCAUGUUUUUAGUUGCUCCUCUUCACGAGGUCUUCAAAAUAUUACUUUCCUUUGUUUGGCAAUUCCUUCACGAGGUUUUAUAUGCACGUAGGUUUAUGGUGGCGAGGUUGGCUGGCGGUAGGAUUGGCGGUGGCCUGUUAUUGAUGUGUUUGUGUUUUUUAUGUGUGAAUCUGGUGGGAACUACAAGAUCAUUGUGUGUUUGGUGGUGAUCUGAGCAUUUUGAGUGUUGGACAUGUGGAUAUUUGUACAGCGGUGGGAUUCCAAAAACUUGGUUGCGGCGAGGGAGGUAGAGAAGAAAAGGUGAGGAAUCUCUAUGCAAAGAGGACGUACAACGUUGGUCAGCAGACAUUGAUCUGGAGGCACUAUAUGUCAUAGUAGUUGAUCUGGAUCCUAGCCAAGGUUUUUUUAAUCAAAGUUUCCCACUGUUCUUGAUUAAGAAAAUCAGUUUUAUUUCCGUACUGUCAAAAGACGUACAUGCUGAUUAACCAUUCAGCUUUGGCUUGUUGGACAAUGUCGUGAAGCUGCAAUCCAUCAGUUCGGUCCCUUUCAUGAGUACUGCUGCAUUGUUUUGUAGAAUACUGAGGAUGAAAAAUUGAUGUCGUCUUUGCAACAAUUGAAGUGAACAUGGGUUCUUGAAACAUACUUUGAGGUAAUGGUUCAACACAGAGACUUACCUUACUUCUUAACGUGGUGCAUUUGCAUGCCUAACAAAGACUGCAAUAUAUAGUGAAAUAUAUGCAAUAGGUGUCUAUUUUUUCCCUACAAUAACUUCUAUACUGAACAUGCAUAAGGAAGUUACAAGUUACUGUCAAGGCCUUAAAUUUUCUGAAUUAUCGGCAUUUGAUGUAUGGUAACAUAAGUAUGUGAAUCGACGCUCGAGACGCGUAUCCAUGCUUUCCCUCCCCGGCGAUGUGGUUCAUCAACCAAUAUUAUGAGGCGCUGAAAGUGCGAGCUUAUGAAGGCCUAAAGCAUCACGGUUUUGGAGAUGCAGAUUUUGAAAAAUCUGUCUGGGGAAUCUUAUAUGAUCUAGAUUUAUUGAAGUGUUCUCCUACAAAAUGAUCAAUUAUGUGUAUUUUCUUUCCUAGGCAUAUGUUUUUUCUGUAUAAAAUUGAAAAUGGUUUCUUAGUUUUC